CAGUCGCCGCGGGAAUACGGAGGGGGCUAGCGUUGUUCGGAAUUACUGGGCGUAAAGCGCACGUAGGCGGCUUGGUAAAUUAGAGGUGAAAGCCCGGAGCUCAACUCCGGAAUUGCCUUUAAGACUGCCGAGCUAGUAGGUGAGAGAGGUAAGUGGAAUUCCGAGUGUAGAGGUGAAAUUCGUAGAUAUUCGGAAGAACACCAGUGGCGAAGGCGGCUUACUGGCUCAUUCUAGACGCUGAGGCGCGAAAGCGUGGGGAGCAAACAGGAUUAGAUACCCGUGUAGUCCCUGUCUCUUAUAC
rnacentral:rRNA from 1 species